UUUACUUUUGGAGCGGUUAGUGGCGGACUGGUGAGUAACACGUAAGCAACCUGCCUAUCAGAGGGGAACAACAGUUAGAAAUGACUGCUAAUACCGCAUAUGCCUAAGUAUCACAUGGUACAAUAGGGAAAGAAGCAAUUCGCUGAUAGAUGGGCUUGCGUCUGAUUAGAUAGUUGGUGGGGCAACGGCCUACCAAGUCAACGAUCAGUAGCCGGACUGAGAGGUUGAACGGCCACAUUGGGACUGAGAUACGGCCCAGACUCC
rnacentral:rRNA from 1 species